CCCAGACUCCUACGGGAGGCAGCAGUGGGGGAUAUUGCACAAUGGGGGGAACCCUGAUGCAGCGACGCCGCGUGGGUGAAGAAGCGCCUCGGCGCGUAAAGCCCUGUCAGCAGGGAAGAAAAUGACGGUACCUGAAGAAGAAGCCCCGGCUAACUACGUGCCAGCAGCCGCGGUAAUACGUAGGGGGCAAGCGUUAUCCGGAUUUACUGGGGGGAAAGGGGGCGCAGGCGGCGAUGCAAGCCAGGGGUGAAAAGCCGGGGCCCAACCCCGGGACUGCUCUUGGAACUGGGUGGCUGGAGUGGAGGAGGGGCAGGCGGAAUUCCUGGUGUAGCGGUGAAAUGCGGAGAUAACAGGAAGAACACCGGUGGCGAAGGCGGCCUACUGGACUGCAA
rnacentral:rRNA from 1 species